GCCUGGGUGGCUCAGUCGGUUGGGCAUCCGACUUCAGCUCAGGUCACGAUCUCGCGGUCCGUGGGUUCGAGCCCCGCGUCGGGCU
rnacentral:tRNA from 1 species